AUUAUCAAGAAGAGGCAAUAUCGUAACCAAUGAGGUUAAUCCGAGGUGCGAUUAUUGCUAGUUGAAGAUCCCUCCCAGAAAGAGUGAGAGAAGCCAAGCGUUCUUCAAAAUGUCAAAUGAAUGUAACAGCUGUUUUUAACCGUUGACGGCCGCGGCGUGGAGUGCGCAAAGUUUGAAAUUUCAUGUAAGGU